GAUGAACGCUGGCGGCGUGCUUAACACAUGCAAGUCGAACGGUGAACACGGAGCUUGCUCUGUGGGAUCAGUGGCGAACGGGUGAGUAACACGUGAGCAACCUACCCCUGACUCUGGGAUAAGCGCUGGAAACGGCGUCUAAUACUGGAUACGAGUGGCGACCGCAUGGUCAGCUACUGGAAAGAUUUUAUUGGGUUGGG
rnacentral:rRNA from 1 species